rnacentral:rRNA from 1 species
CGGACGGGUGAGUAACACGUGGAUAACCUACCUAUAAGACUGGGAUAACUUCGGGAAACCGGAGCUAAUACCGGAUAAUAUUUUGAACCGCAUGGUUCAAAAGUGAAAGACGGUCUUGCUGUCACUUAUAGAUGGAUCCGCGCUGCAUUAGCUAGUUGGUAAGGUAACGGCUUACCAAGGCAACGAUGCAUAGCCGACCUGAGAGGGUGAUCGGCCACACUGGAACUUAGACACGGUCCAG